rnacentral:rRNA from 1 species
UACGGAGGGUGCAAGCGUUGUCCGGAAUCACUGGGCGUAAAGGGCGCGUAGGCGGCUCGGUAAGUAGGGGGUGAAAUCCUGCGGCUCAACCGCAGGGCUGCCUUCUAAACUGUCGAGCUCGAGCACGGUAGAGGCAGAUGGAAUUCCCGGUGUAGCGGUGGAAUGCGUAGAGAUCGGGAAGAACAUCAGUGGCGAAGGCGGUCUGCUGGGCCGUUGCUGACGCUGAGGAGCGAAAGCGUGGGGAGCGAACAGG